rnacentral:sRNA from 1 species
GUUUAAACCCGGUUGAAGCGGAAAUACUUUUUGUUCCGCUGGUAUUAAAAGAAUACUUCUUCCCCCUACAUUAUCAAUAACGCUCAGAAAAGCACUUAAACAAAAAGAUUGAAGCAAAAAACGGGGCUGACA